GGGGAGAGGGACAGAGAUAAGGCGAGAAGAUCUUCCUCGUGAUACCUUUCGAUUCCCCCUACGCAUGUACACCAACAUCACCAUCAUCCACCACCCACCGCCACGUAGAGGAGGAGCAUACAGAGCAUAUAUAGGGCAUAUGCAGACCAUAUAGAGCAAGAGCAACAGCGACAGCUACAGCCAAGAGGAGAGAGUGAAGGAGACGGAGCUGCUAACAGACUACGAUAAAGGCCACGGCAGGGCCGACCAAAUGGCUGCGACAGGAUCUCCUUGUUUCCUUCUCGAGACGAUUCUCUCUGCCUUUCUCUCUCUCUGCUACUCCUUUUCUCUGGGCUUUCUCGGCUUCCCUUUUUUUGUUGUAUGUGCUUGAUUCGGCUGCGCCGCUCCCUCUCUGCCUCCUCGUCGGCGUUCCGUUUGACCUUGUUCUUCGACGGCGAAUGGCGUCCUGUAAGGACAACGAGCAGGACCCGCGCGUCCAUGGAAUCGCCGCUGCCAUCCGCGUCGUCCCCGAUUUCCCCAAGAAAGGAAUCAUGUUCCGGGACAUCACGACGCUUUUACUUAAUCCGAAAGCCUUCAGGAACGCCGUGGACUUGUUCGUGGAGCGGUACCUGGGGAAGGAUAUCACCGUUGUCGCUGUUGGCUGGCAAACAGAGAAAUGCUCUACUUUUCAUCAUUCUGCUUUAUGUUUGAGGAAGAUUAUCCAUGGCACUUUGCUUGACUGGAUUGCUACCAUGAACCAUAACUAUGAUCUAGCUCUGUUUGUGGGACUGGUGGUCUUCACUCUCCAUCCAGGCAGAGGUCCAUUGUUUGAGGGAAACUGUCUAAAAGGAAUGGGCCUCUAUAUUCUGUCUCUGGGCUCUUGCUUAAUGUGUGGAUUUGGUUACUAACAUCAACCAAUCUCCUUUGUCGACCGAAACUCAGACAAACCAUAGAUGUGAAAACUUCUAUGGCUUUUUCUUGUUCUAUUUGUGAUUGUUGCUAAUAAGAUCUAUAUCUUAUUAGACUUUUCCAAUUAAAUACUAUUCUGUUAACUACCCUUCGAUCAAUUCACAGGGAUUGAAGCUAGAGGCUUGAUAUUUGGGCCACCAAUUGCUUUAGCAAUUGGUGCAAAAUUUAUUCCAUUGAGGAAGCCAAAAAAAUUACCAGGUGAAGUCAUUUCCGAGAAGUAUGAUCUGGAAUAUGGAAGUGAUUGUCUCGAAAUGCAUGUUGGCGCAGUCCAACCUGGAGAUCGUGCUCUAGUGGUUGAUGAUCUAAUAGCAACUGGAGGAACACUCUGUGCUGCUAUGAAUCUACUCGAACGUGCUGGCGCAAAUGUGGUUGAAUUUGCAUGUGUGAUAGAGCUUCCAGAACUUAAGGGGCGAGAUAAGCUAAAAGGCAAACCGUUGCAUAUUCUGGUGGAGUCCCGUUGAGUCUUCCGCUUUCGCUCUAUUAAUCGGCUGGGUGUCUACUUUGUCGGCUCUAAGCAUUUGAGUAUUGGGUGAAGCUCUGGAUUGGUUAUCGUAGCAUUGAAUUUUGAUUAGUUUGUUGUCUGGUUUCUUCUUCAUCUUUGGUUUCACAAAGUUUCUGUUGGAACUUCACUCCAGAUUUUAGUAAAAGUGAUCCUUGAAAUCUAUAA